rnacentral:rRNA from 3 species
UACGAAGGGAGCUAGCGUUGUUCGGAAUCACUGGGCGUAAAGCGCACGUAGGCGGACUUGUCAGUCAGGGGUGAAAUCCCGGGGCUCAACCUCGGAACUGCCUCUGAUACAGCAAGUCUUGAGUCCGGAAGAGGUGGGUGGAAUUCCUAGUGUAGAGGUGAAAUUCGUAGAUAUUAGGAAGAACACCGGUGGCGAAGGCGGCCCACUGGUCCGGUACUGACGCUGAGGUGCGAAAGCGUGGGGAGCAAACAGG